rnacentral:rRNA from 1 species
AAACUGGAGAUGGCGACCGGCGCACGGGUGAGUAGCACGUAUCCAACCUGCCGAUAACUCGGGGAUAGCCUUUCGAAAGAAAGAUUAAUACCCGAUGGCAUAAUAGAACCGCAUGGUUUGAUUAUUAAAGAAUUUCGGUUAUCGAUGGGGAUGCGUUCCAUUAGGUUGUUGGCGGGGUAACGGCCCACCAAGCCUUCGAUGGAUAGGGGUUCUGAGAGGAAGGUCCCCCACAUUGGAACUGAGACACGGUCCAAACUCCUACGGGAGGCAGCAUG